AUUCCGGUGGCGCAGCACUGGCGCUGCUGCUGGCGGCGCAGCGGGAUGACGUCACCUUGGUCCAAACCCUGGCCGGCAAUC
rnacentral:tRNA from 1 species